rfam:Loxodonta africana unplaced genomic scaffold scaffold_21, whole genome shotgun sequence.
CUGGGCUAUGGAGACAUGUAUCCACAGACAUGGUCCGGCAUGUUGGUGGGAGCGCUGUGUGCGCUGGCAGGUGUGCUGACCAUCGCCAUGCCCGUGCCCGUCAUUGUGAACAAU